UCGGGCCUCCGGGUCUCCGUUUAAAAGACGGUUUUCAGAGCAGUUUUCUAUUGAGAAAGGCAAAACGUAAAUCGUAUGAAUAAUUUGUAGCAAAUAGUGGCACAUUUUACACUUUUAUAAUUAGUGGCUCAUGUCCCUUCAGAUUUGACCGCACUUACCGCUUGAUGACGUCCCAGUUUGAUAUUUCUUUUGAGUGUUUUGAGAAAACUGAGAAAACGAAAAUCGUCAACGCAGGCCUGAAUACGGUUAAAGAAAUAUAAACAAAUUUUGGUAUCCUCGCAUCGUUGUCCGGAGCAGUUGGAUAUCAUUGUCAUCAAUAACCCCAGGGUUGAAAAAUUGAUUCGGUUCUGUGACUUCGAAUCUAAAGACUAUGGCGUGCGGCAUCGAAGAAUUUAUUCCGUGCACUUUAGGUCGUCUUGUUUCAAACACCUAUUAAAUCUAUCUAAAGGAUGAUGAUCGAGUUGCACUUUUUGUUGCCAACGAACGGAAAACAGCGACCAGCUGCUGCAUUUGCUCCACCACCCGUUUUUUCUAAGAGAUCAGAGAUGUGUAUUUUCGCUCUGCAGUUUGUUGCUUUUAGCUAAAUAGUUGAAGAAAUUUUUCUCCUCAAAAUAUUUGAUUAUUUCUGCUGCCUCUGCACUCCUUGCUGUCGUUCGAUUCCGUUCACGUAGCUUCGACGUGCUGCCUCGUGGAUCAUCAACUCGUUGGUAGCGAGCCGCGUGGCUUGUUUCGAUAUUCCACCUAUUACUAUGGGCCUUGGUUGCGUUUAGAUGA